UGACGUUCCACAGGGAAAGGAACGUGUUAUGAUUAUGCGUUGAUCAUUUUAUUGGAAGGCUUUCAAGGUGAUCCAAGAGUUGUUGUCGCGACUAUCAAUCCUAAAAUUGUCAGAGGAUGUCUGUUUUGAACGCUACGUCAGCAACACAAAUUUUUCGAUAAAGAGACUUAAGCACUGGGGAUUUUGUUCUACUAAGUAUCUAAUGGUGAAACUUCACAAUCAUGUAGACUGGUCUCUAAAGAAC